rnacentral:misc_RNA from 1 species
CCACCCUUCAUGACUUAUACGUUCAUUCUACACGGCAAAUGCGACAAUAUAUACCUUGCGGACAACAAAACGGCUUGUGACAUGCAAAGUCGACGAGGUUGCUAAUCAAACUGACAGUUCCGUUUUCUUCAAGAGAAGUUACUGCAAAGGGGAGAAAUGGGUUAACAAGACCUUGGAAGGAACUUUUAUAUCAGUGAGCGUUUUCGCUAGAGGAACCUUUGACGCAAUGAUCGUCCACCCACCAGGCAUCAUGGGGAAACGCAUCGAGCAGUUACUCUAUGCCGACCCAGGAUUUCACUGUGGAGUCUUUAAAAUAUUCCUCAACCUUAUAUCCACAUACAGUCACCCUCGUGCAAUCUACGAGUUGCGCGUGCGCGAUUCAUACGAUAGGCCGUUCAAUGCAAAAUGUAUUUCGUUAUUCAGGAAGAAAGCUGAAAACAACUAUGUAGACGCAUAUGCGCCCACCUGCACUACAAGUAAAGUUGUCUGUAAAUGAGAGACAGAGGUCCCGUUGGUAAUGGCGACCACAUCUGAAGUGAUAAAUGGGUCUUUUUGAAUUAACAAAACUUUAACAUAAGGAAGCGCACUUGCAGCUU